rnacentral:lncRNA from 1 species
CGUUGGUAGCGCAGGAGGUGGAUAUGGGGUGGAUAUGGGGUGUCCCCAACCUGCUGAAAUGAGACCCCCAGGGUGGGUGGGGAGGGGUCCUCGCCCAGCACCCGGGGCGUCUGGUGGGGGCUCUGCUCACCCGGCACGAGGAGCUGCGCCCUGCGCAAGUGGCAGCGGGGUGGGGGGCAGAGCUCAGAGCUGCGACCCCAAAAAAAAACAAAAAUCCUGCACCCCACGGGGGCUUCUCCCAGCUGGAAACCCCCCCUCGGGACCCUCUCCUGCCAGGCCAGAGGGUGCCCGGCGGCACCGCUCGGUGCGGGGAGCAUGGAUCAGCCCUGGGGCUGCCAUCCCCGCAGCGGCUCCGUCUGUCUGUCCGUCCGUCUGUCCAUCCGUCCGUCCGUCCGUCCCUCCACCUGUCCCCCCCUUUUCCCUCUGCCUGACCCUCCAGGAGGGCUCCGGUGUCGCCGGCUGACAGCCGAUCCCGGCUGCCUCCAAUCCAUUCGUUCCAGGGCAGGAACAAAGGCGCUUUGUGGGGGCUCCCCUCCCGCUCCGUCUCUGGGCCAUGCUGGGGAAGGGUCCCGGCUCCGGAACUGGGACAGACUUCCCCGCACGACAGCCGUGUAAUGCCUUCCAGACCCACCCGCAGGUACGGGUGGGGGACAGGGCACCCCGUGCUGCCCCGGGCACGGCCACCGGCUUGGGGACCUGCUGGGAACCGCUGCCACCAGCAGCAGCCCCAUCCCCGUGUCCCUAUCCCAGUGUCCCUAUCCCAGUGUCCCCAUCCCAGUGUCCCCAUCCCCAUAUCCCCAUCCCCGUGUCCCCAUCCCAGUGUCCCCAUCCCCGUGUCCCCAUCCCAGUGUCCCCAUCCCAGUGUCCCCAUCCCCUGUCCCCAUCUCCUCUGUCCACCCAUGGGGUCUCCAAGGACCCACGGAUUCACCCGCUGAGGUGUCCCCCUGUUCACAAGCAGGGGCAGCGUCCCCUUGGUGAGACCCCGGCCCUCGCUGCCCUGCACUGCCCAGUUUGGGCCCUAAAUUGGGGAAAAGGGGCACGGGAACAGGCAGAGGGGUCGGUCCUGGGCACCCCCUGCUGCAGGGGGGGCUCACGGGGUGCUCGGGGUGUGUGGGAUGGGAUGGGAUGGGAUGGGAUGGGAUGGGAUGGGGAUGGGGAUGGGAUGGGAUGGGAUGGGAUGGGGAGGUUUGGGGUGGGACGGGGCAGGUUGGGGAUGGGAUGGGGAGGUUUGGGGUGGGAUGGGGCAGGUUGGGGAUGGGAUGGGAAGGUUUGGGGAUGGGAUGGGGAGGUUUGGGGUGGGAUGGGGAGGUUUGGGAUGGGAUGGGGCAGGUUGGCUGCUGCUCCUCCAUCCCUCAGCAGGACCAGGCACAGCAGCAUCCUGGCAGCCACAUGCUCGGCGCGGCCGCGGGGUCUGGAAUCCAUUUGCCUCGCCGG